AUACCUUUCUUGGCCUUUUGGCUAAGAUCAAGUGUAGUAUCUGUUCUUAUCAGUUUAAUAUCUGAUAUGUGGGCCAAAGGCACACAUGAUAUUAAAUUUAUUUGUUCAGGGUGAAGAUCCAUCGUGCUACUUGGGUCUUCAAGCAUCGCUCGUGCGUUGCACUUAUGCACGGGCCUGGCACACCCCAC